UGACUGUGAUGAUGAAAGAGAUAUUUGCUAGCUGAGAGUUCAUGCUGACAAGACCUUACCACCAAGAUCUCUGAGUUA
rnacentral:snoRNA from 1 species